rnacentral:misc_RNA from 1 species
UCUCCGUUGGUGAACCAGCGGAGGGAUCAUUACAGGAUCGAAAGACUCCUAUAACCCCUGUGAACUUACUACAAAUACGUUGCUUCGGCGGGUGCCCCGGGUCUCCCGGGGCGUUCAGCCCGCCGGCAGCCUUCAAAUUCUGUUUCUUUGCGUUGGCAUCUCGAGUAUACAAAAAUAAGUUAAAACUUUCAACAAUGGAUCUCUUGGUUCUG